GACGAACGCUGGCGGCGUGCCUAAUACAUGCGAGUCGAGCGGACUUUCAAGAAGCUUGCUUUUUGAAAGUUAGCGGCGGACGGGUGAGUAACACGUGGGCAACCUGCCUGCAAGACGGGGAUAACUCCGGGAAACCGGGGCUAAUACCGGAUAAUAUCUUCCUUCGCAUGAAGGAAGGUUGAAAGGCGGCGCAAGCUGCCGCUUGCAGAUGGGCCCGCGGCGCAUUAGCUAGUUGGUGAGGUAACGGCUCACCAAGGCGACGAUGCGUAGCCGACCUGAGGGGGGGAUGGGCCACACUGGGACUGAGACACGGCCCAGACCCCUACGGGGGGCAGCAGUAGGGAAUCUUCCGCAAUGGACGAAAGUCUGACGGAGCAACGCCGGGGGGGGGAAGAAGGUCUUCGGAUCGUAAAGCUCUGUUGUCAGGGAAGAAAAAGUACCGUUCGAACAGGGCGGUACCUUGACGGUCCCUGACCAAAAAGCCCCGGCUAACUACGG
rnacentral:rRNA from 1 species